GAGGAAAGUCCGGGCUCGGAAGGGCUCGAUGCCGGAUAACGUCCGGGCCAGUAAGGAUGAAGCUUUCUGCUUUUAGCAGAGGCCCAAGUUCUUUCUGGACAGAGAGUGCCACAGAAAACAUACCGCCGCGCAAGCGGUAAGGGUGAAAAGGCGAGGUAAGAGCUCACCGCAUUUUCAGCAAUGGAAGUGGCAUGGCAAACCUCAUCGCGAGCAAGGUCAAACAGCGAUGGACUGCCCGUCCAUGCCGCCCUAGUGCGGCUAAAAUCGCGGGUGGACCGCUUGAGCACAUCAGCAAUGGUGUGUCGAGAGAGAUGGUAACCGUGCGAUUGGCGCGAUGAACGCCUUUUGCAUACAGAACCCGGCUUA
rnacentral:RNase_P_RNA from 1 species